rnacentral:rRNA from 1 species
AUUGAACGCUGGCGGCAUGCUUUACACAUGCAAGUCGAACGGCAGCGGGGUAGUGCUUGCACUACUGCCGGCGAGUGGCGAACGGGUGAGUAAUAUAUCGGAACGUACCGAGUAAUGGGGGAUAACCAAUCGAAAGAUUGGCUAAUACCGCAUACGUCCUGAGGGAGAAAGCGGGGGAUCGCAAGACCUCGCGUUAUUCGAGCGGCCGAUAGCUGAUUAGCUAGUUGGUGGGGUAAAGGCCUACCAAGGCGACGAUCAGUAGCGGGUCUGAGAGGACGAUUCGCCACCCUGGGACUGAGACACGGCCCAGACUCCUACGGGAGGCAGCAGUGGGGAAUUUUGGACAAUGGGGGCAACCCUGAUCCAGCCAUGCCGCGUGUAUGAAGAAGGCCUUCGGGUUGUAAAGUACUUUUGUUAGGGAAGAAAAGGGAAGUGGUAAUACCACUUUUUGCUGACGGUACCUAAAGAAUAAGCACCGGCUAACUACGUG